UGCAAGUCGAACGCGAAAGUCCCGCAAGGGAUAAGUAGAGUGGCAAACGGGUGAGUAACGCGUGGGUGACCUGCCUUCGAGCGGGGGAUAACGUUCCGAAAGGGACGCUAAUACCGCAUGACAUCCUGUCUUUGAAGAGAUGGAGAUCAAAGCUGCGGAUCGCAAGACGUAGCACUCGAAGAGGGGCCCGCAUCCGAUUAGCUAGUUGGUGAGGUAACGGCUCACCAAGGCAUCGAUCGGUAGCCGGCCUGAGAGGGCGGACGGCCACACUGGGACUGAGACACGGCCCAGACUCCUACGGGAGGCAGCAGUGGGGAAUUGUUCGCAAUGGGCGCAAGCCUGACGACGCAACGCCGCGUGGAGGAUGAAGAUCUUCGGGUCGUAAACUCCUUUCGAUCGAGACGAAUUCCGUUGUGGUGAACAAUCACGACGGUUGACGGUACCGAGAGAAGAAGCCCCGGCUAACUCCGUGCCAGCAGCCGCGGUAAUACGGGGGGGGCAAGCGUUGUUCGGAAUUACUGGGCGUAAAGGGCUCGUAGGCGGCCAACUAAGUCAGACGUGAAAUCCCUCGGCUUAACCGGGGAACUGCGUCUGAUACUGGAUGGCUUGAGUGUAGGAGAGGGAUGCGGAAUUCCAGGUGUAGCGGUGAAAUGCGUAGAUAUCUGGAGGAACACCGGUGGCGAAGGCGGCAUCCUGGACUACUACUGACGCUGAGGAGCGAAAGCCAGGGGAGCAAACGGGAUUAGAUACCCCGGUAGUCCUGGCCCUAAACGAUGAAUGCUUGGUGUGACGGGUAUCGAUCCCUGUCGUGCCGAAGCUAACGCAUUAAGCAUUCCGCCUGGGGAGUACGGUCGCAAGGCUGAAACUCAA
rnacentral:rRNA from 1 species